rnacentral:rRNA from 1 species
UACGUAGGGUGCGAGCGUUGUCCGGAAUUAUUGGGCGUAAAGGGCUCGUAGGCGGUUUGUCGCGUCGGGAGUGAAAACCCCGGGCUUAACUCGGUGCUUGCUUUCGAUACGGGCAGACUGGAGGUAUGCAGGGGAGAACGGAAUUCCUGGUGUAGCGGUGAAAUGCGCAGAUAUCAGGAGGAACACCGGUGGCGAAGGCGGUUCUCUGGGCAUGUCCUGACGCUGAGGAGCGAAAGUGUGGGGAGCGAACAGG